rnacentral:tRNA from 1 species
AUUUAAAUAGCUUAAAAAAAAGUUUAAUAAUGAAAAUAUUAAGAUGAAUUAUAUUCUUUAAAUA